UACAGAGGUCUCAAGCGUUGUUCGGAUUCAUUGGGCGUAAAGGGCGCGUAGGCGGCGCGGUAAGUCGGGUGUGAAAUCUCGGGGCUUAACUCCGAAACUGCAUUCGAUACUACCGUGCUUGAGGACUGGAGAGGAGACUGGAAUUUACGGUGUAGCGGUGAAAUGCGUAGAUAUCGUAAGGAAGACCAGUGGCGAAGGCGGGUCUCUGGACAGUUCCUGACGCUGAGGCACGAAGGUCAGGGGAGCAAACGGG
rnacentral:rRNA from 1 species